rnacentral:rRNA from 1 species
AAGUCGAACGGUAACAGGAAACAGCUUGCUGUUUCGCUGACGAGUGGCGGACGGGUGAGUAAUGUCUGGGAAACUGCCUGAUGGAGGGGGAUAACUACUGGAAACGGUAGCUAAUACCGCAUAACGUCGCAAGACCAAAGAGGGGGACCCUCGGGCCUCUUGCCAUCGGAUGUGCCCAGAUGGGAUUAGCUUGUUGGUGGGGUAACGGCUCACCAAGGCGACGAUCCCUAGCUGGUCUGAGAGGAUGACCAGCCACACUGGAACUGAGACACGGUCCAGACUCCUACGGGAGGCAGCAGUGGGGAAUAUUGCACAAUGGGCGCAAGCCUGAUGCAGCCAUGCCGCGUGUAUGAAGAAGGCCUUCGGGUUGUAAAGUACUUUCAGCGGGGAGGAAGGGAGUAAAGUUAAUACCUUUGCUCAUUGACGUUACCCGCAGAAGAAGCACCGGCUAACUCCGUGCCAGCAGCCGCGGUAAUACGGAGGGUGCAAGCGUUAAUCGGAAUUACUGGGCGUAAAGCGCACGCAGGCGGUUUGUUAAGUCAGAUGUGAAAUCCCCGGGCUCAACGUGGGAACUGCAUCUGAUACUGGCAAGCUUGAGUCUCGUAGAGGGGGGUAGAAUUCCAGGUGUAGCGGUGAAAUGCGUAGAGAUCUGGAGGAAUACCGGUGGCGAAGGCGGCCCCCUGGACGAAGACUGACGCUCAGGUGCGAAAGCGUGGGGAGCAAACAGGAUUAGAUANCCUGGUAGUCCACGCCGUAAACGAUGUCGACUUGGAGGUUGUGCC